rnacentral:rRNA from 1 species
UACGUAGGGUGCAAGCGUUAAUCGGAAUUACUGGGCGUAAAGCGUGCGCAGGCGGUUAUGCAAGACAGAUGUGAAGUCCCCGGGCUCAACCUGGGAACUGCAUUUGUGACUGCAUGGCUAGAGUACGGUAGAGGGGGAUGGAAUUCCGCGUGUAGCAGUGAAAUGCGUAGAUAUGCGGAGGAACACCGAUGGCGAAGGCAAUCCCCUGGACCUGUACUGACGCUCAUGCACGAAAGCGUGGGGAGCAAACAGG